GCCUGAUUAGCUCAGCUGGUUAGAGGGUCGUACUAAUAUCUUGAUCUCAAGAUAUCGAGUCAUGCGAAGGUCAACAGUUCAAUCCUGUUAUUGGGCA
rnacentral:tRNA from 1 species